UGGAUUCACGUCAAGGGAGAGGCCAGCUUGUGUGCUCAUUCCAUCAGCAACUGUGGCUUGCUGGGAGGAUACCAAAGCACAAGCUGUUGUGAUGUUAAUGGCUCAUCUCAUCUAACUUGCUAAACUGAAGCCAAGGGACAGCCACUGUGAGGUCACUGAAGCAUCAGCAAGCUAGAGGUGAUGUCAAGGUACAGGCCUUUGUGAUGCUGCUGAUUCAUCAAAGUUCUAGCUUGCAGAUCCUGUGUGAAGGACCAGAGUUGAGAGCUCCCCGACUCAGCCCCCUCCAGUUUACUGGGCCUCGUGGGGUUUGUUACCUCCCUAGGAACUCAGAAGCCCUGGGGUUCAAGGCUCAAGUUCUAUGCUGGGAAGCAAAGGUUAAUGAGCAAGGACCGGAAAUAGCUGGAACUCACUAGCCCCCCAGGAAGCCAGCCUGGAGCACACAAGAUAACAAGGAAGAGCUGAUCAACUGCCUGGUAAGCUAACAACUCUAAGGAAGAUUGCCUGCAGAGGGGCUCUUUCUGGAACAAAGCUCACAUGGGAAUAACCUUCUGAAAAUGCUACAGCAUGUCUGCUCAGCCACAGAGACUGCCACAGACACCCCAGACCUGUCCUUCACUCCUGUCAGCAGGUUCAAGGUCUCAGUCCUUAUCUUUAAGAUGCUCCAUGGCCUUGGACCAACAAUGUACCUAAAAAAUCAACUAAAGCUCUGGGAUAAAGACCAUGAUCAACAUCUUUGCUCCUGUGGCACAAUGGAAUAUUCCACCACAAGGUAAAACUCACGUGCAGGACAGAGCUUUCUCAGGGGCUGGCUCAAGACUGUGGAAUGAACUCCCCCAGGGACUAAGGACCAUCAUUAACUCUACCACCUUCCACUCCAAACACCAGGUUUGUGUUCAUCUUGGAGUGUAUAACUUACUGAAAGGCCCCAUGAGAGGUCACUAAAUCACUUCUAUGUUCCUGCCUUGGAUGCGUUCUUUGUCUCUUCAGAGAAGAUGCUCCAUCUCAUUUCAUCUCCACUCAUUAAAACAGUCACAUGAACACUCCUCACAGGGUUCCUCAGAGCACUCAGCAGUGAUGGAGUUUCAAACACCUCCAAUUAUUUAAUCUAUAAUUUGGGGGUUUUUUUGUUUUUGUUUUUUUGCAAAUGGUAAUUCUAGUGUAGAUUGCCUCUUGUCCCUCUCUUUUGCUUCAGAUGUGAUUUUUCUCCCACUGCAAAUAGGGCAUGUGGGGAUUAUUGAACAGAAAUAUAUCCAUAUUUUGUCUACAUCAUUUUGUAUUGU